rnacentral:rRNA from 1 species
UACCAGCACCCCGAAUGGUCGGGACGAUUAUUGGGCCUAAAGCAUCCGUAGCCGGUUCUACAAGUCUUCCGUUAAAUCCACCUGCUUAACAGAUGGGCUGCGGAGGAUACUAUGGAGCUAGGAGGCGGGAGAGGCAAGCGGUACUUAGUGGGUAGGGGUAAAAUCCGUUGAUCCAUUGAAGACCACCAGUGGCGAAGGCGGCUUGCCAGAACGCACUCGACGGUGAGGGAUGAAAGCUGGGGGAGCAAACCGG